rnacentral:rRNA from 1 species
CAGCCGCCGCGGUAAUACGUAGGUGGCAAGCGUUGUCCGGAAUUAUUGGGCGUAAAGGGUGCGUAGGCGGGUCUUUAAGUCAGGGGUGAAAUCCUGGAGCUCAACUCCAGAACUGCCUUUGAUACUGAGGAUCUUGAGUUCGGGAGAGGUGAGUGGAACUGCGAGUGUAGAGGUGAAAUUCGUAGAUAUUCGCAAGAACACCAGUGGCGAAGGCGGCUCACUGGCCCGAUACUGACGCUGAGGCACGAAAGCGUGGGGAGCGAACAGGAUUAGAUACCCCUGUAGUCCCUGUCUCUUAUAC